rnacentral:rRNA from 1 species
UACGGAGGGUGCAGGCGUUAUCCGGAUUCACUGGGUUUAAAGGGUGCGUAGGCGGGCAUGUAAGUCCGUGGUGAAAUCUCCGAGCUUAACUCGGAAACUGCCAUGGAUACUAUGUGUCUUGAAUGUUGUGGAGGUGAGCGGAAUAUGUCAUGUAGCGGUGAAAUGCUUAGAUAUGACAUAGAACACCAAUUGCGAAGGCAGCUCACUACACAAAUAUUGACGCUGAGGCACGAAAGCGUGGGGAUCAAACAGG